UCGGGAGGAUUCGGUGCUGAAGCGAAGGCGAAGAGUGAGCUACCUGGGAAGUAUAGUCGCAAGAUCGAAACUUAAAGGAAUUGGCGGGGAGACAUACAACGAGUGACGCGUGCGGUUCAAUCAGAUUUUACACCGUGAACCUCACCAGGAGCGACAGCAGGAUGAAGGUCAGUCUAAAGGGCUUACCUGACACGCUGAGCGGAGAUACAAAGCCGACGUCAGCCUGUGCUGUGAAGUGACCUGUUAAAUCAGGUAACAGGCGAGACCCGUGUCAUUAAUUACUACAGAAAUGGGUACAUUAAUGAGAUUGCCUUGGUAACAAGGAUGAAAGUGCGGGCUACGUUAGGUGGCUUGUCCCUAAUCCCCUGGGCUACACGCGCGCGGCAAUGGUAUGUUCAAAUGGAUGCGACUCCGAGAGGAGAAGCUAAUCCCCUAACGCAUAUCUCAGUCCAGAUAGAGGGUUGCAACCCACCCUCUUAACGUUGGAAUUCGUAGUAAUCGGAUAUUAGCACUGUCCGGUGAAUAAGUCCCUGUCUCUUGCACACACCGCCCGUCAAACCAACCGAGUUAUGUAGGGAUGAAGCCCUUAUUGGGAAGAAUCUUUUCAUGACAAGGUAGGUUAAGUCGUAACAAGGUAGCC
rnacentral:rRNA from 1 species